UCUCAGGACCUCCCCCAAAGACAAUGCAGAUGCCUGAAGGAUCUGUCCCUGCCCGUCCUGGUCUUGGCCAGCUCUGACCAAACACAAAGUCACUGUGAGCC